rnacentral:lncRNA from 12 species
CACAGUUCCUAGCAGGACAGCUUGCUUCGUUGGAGGUUGUAUUUAUUUCAGGGUUCUUACCUCAAAUAUCCCUCCUUUCCCCUCGGUCAAAAUUGAGUCUGGGUUGUGAGUAAUUGGCAUCUAAGAACAGAGCAAAUCGAGAGCUGGUUCGACUCUGAUAACACCUCUAGUCUGCUGGAGGUUUCCUUUAGGUCAGCUGUGCGGAAGGGAUUGCCGGGCGGUGUGAGACCCUGAUUGGCAUCAUUCGGACGAGACUUAGGCAGAAGCCAAGCGUGACAGACCUGAGGAACGUGUGCUGGUGUAGCAGGGGGAAGGUACUGUGGUGAUGAAGCGUGCACCUGCUCAUUGGUUGUAUCCGGGAUGUCAGUCAUCUGGGAUCUCUCAUCUGGCCUGAGUCUUCACCUUGCAUAAAAAUGCUUGCUGAAACCUCGGAUUCAGACCUAUGAACGGCUCCCACUUUCAUGGAAGUGGAGAGGCUACACAGACCCAGGCUCCCACGAACCCCCUGUGCCCCCUGGUUUUCGGCAAUGUCGCUCUUUGGCCCAGCAGCCCAAGCCCCGGCCCAGGCAUCCCGGCCCUGUUAGGUGCAGCUGGUCUCGGGCCCGUCUCAGGUAAGUAACGGGCACGUUGGGCUGCAAUUUCUAUUCCUGAAUAGGCCUCCUAUCUCAGAGUCAUGCUUCAACAAACACUCAAUUAAAAGGAAAAAACCUCUGGGUGAUGGAAGGCACCCUAUUACUGAGAAGCAGGGAAUGUUUACUGAAGAAAGAGACUUCUCUCUAGUUACUAGUAGCCUAGCGAAGAUUUAUGAGCCAGUUUGUCCCACAGCAAUCAAACUUGAAAUGUGAAGUCUAAACUGGUGCGUUUUUUAAUCAACAAAACAAACUAGGUCAUGAGAGUUGCUUAGAAUUAGGAAUUAGGCAAAGCAGUGGAGUGUUAAGACUGUGUGGCCAAGGAGCUAGGCCUGAGG